UCAAGAAACUUCCACAAUGGGCGAAAGCCUGAUGGAGCGACGUCGCGUGAUGGACGAAGUGCUUCGGCACGUAAACAUCUUUUAUGUGGGAUGAAAUUAUUGACAGUACCACAUGAAUAAGGGGCUCCUAACUCUGUGCCAGCAGGAGCGGUAAUACAGAGGCCCCAAGCGUUAUCCGGAAUCACUGGGCGUAAAGGGUGUCGAGGCGGUUGUAUUAGUCGUUCGUAAAAUCUACGAGCUUAACUUGUAGGCGGCGAACGAAACGGUACGACUUGAGGUUUGGAGAGGUGCGUGGAACUCACGGUGUAGGGGUGAAAUCCGUUGAUAUCGUGGGGAACACCAAAGGCGAAGGCAGCGCACUGGCCAAAAUCUGACGCUCACACACGAAAGCUAGGGUAGCGAAGAGGAUUAGAUACCCAAGUAGUCCCUGAGCGGGCUGGCAAGGCGCAU
rnacentral:rRNA from 1 species